AACGCGAAGAACCUUACCUGGGUUUGACAUAUACAGGAAACAUCUGGAGACAGGUGCCCCGCAAGGUCGGUAUACAGGUGGUGCAUGGCGUCGUCAGCUCGUGUCGUGAGAUGUUGGGUUAAGUCCCGCAACGAGCGCAACCCUCGUCCUAUGUUGCCAGCGGUUCGGGUGGGAACUCAUAGGAGACUGCCGGGGUCAACUCGGAGGAAGGUGGGGAUGAGGUCAAGUCAUCAUGCCCCUUAUGUCCAGGGCCUGAAAACAUGCUACAAUGGCUGGUACAAAGGGCUGCAAUACCGCAAGGUGGAGCGAAUCCCAUAAAGCCAGUGUCAGUUCGGAUUGGGGUCUGCAACUCGACCCCAUGAAGUCGGAGUCGCUAGUAAUCGCAGUUUUGGGUCUUGUACACACCG
rnacentral:rRNA from 1 species